UUUUUUAACGUUUUAUCAUAACUUACAUUGGAUUAUACCUAUAACACAUCUUUCAAGGAUUUACAUCCCUUGUGAAGUUGCUUGAAAGUAUAAAAAUUGAAAUUUUUGACUUUUUUGCCGGCAUUUUGAAACCGGAAGUCACCUUUAGUUUCAUUAAUGUAUUGUCUAGUCGUAAUUUAGGAACUGUCAUUUACUUUUUAUCAAAUCUAACAUUGGAUUUUACAUAUAAC
rnacentral:lncRNA from 1 species